rnacentral:rRNA from 1 species
GAUGUUGGCUUAGAAGCAGCCAUGCAUUUAAAGAGUGCGUAACAGCUCACUGGUCGAGUGGACAUGCGCCGACAAUUCACGGGGCUAAGCGAUGCACCGAAGCGGCGGACUGAUCUUUCAGUGGUAGGGGAGCUUUCCAUGGCCGGCGAAGCGGGCGCGCGAGCGUCCGUGGAGGGCAUGGAAGUGAGAAUGCUGGCAUGAGUAACGAGACCAGGGCGAGAAACCCUGGCGCCGUGAGCCUAAGGGUUCCUGGGCGAGGCUAAUCCCCCCAGGGUCAGUCGGGAGCUAAGGCGAGGCCGCGAGGCGUAGCCGAUGCGCAGCGGGCAGACAUUCCCGCACCGCCGACGGCGCGGCAUUACCGAUGGGGCGACGGAGAAGGGUAGCCGGGCGGGGUUCUGGACGUCCCCGUGAAAGCGCGUAGGGCGCGCAGCGUGGAAAUCAGCUGCGCACGGGGCCUGAGACGCGAGACGAAGCGAGCGAGCGAAGCCGGUGAGCCCAUGCUUCCGAGAAAAACCUCUAGGGAGUGCCGUCGGCGCCCGUACCAAAACCGACACAGGUGGGCGGGUAGAACAUACCGAGGCGAUCGGGAGAACCACGGUUAAGGAACUCGGCAUACUGGCCCCGUAACUUCGGGAGAAGGGGCGCCGCCGGCUGUGAACGCCCUCGCGGCGGGAGCGGCUGGCGGCCGCAGCGAAACGGCCCAAGCGACUGUUUAUCAAAAACACAGGACUCUGCAAAGCCGCAAGGCGACGUAUAGGGUCUGACGCCUGCCCGGUGCCGGAAGGUUACGCGGAUGCGUCAGCCGAAAGGCGAAGCGCUGAAGCCAAGCCCCGGUAAACGGCGGCCGUAACUAUAACGGUCCUAAGGUAGCGAAAUUCCUUGUCGGGUAAGUUCCGACCUGCACGAAUGGCGUAACGAUUUGGGCGCUGUCUCAACCGUGGACCCGGUGAAAUUGUACUGUUCGUGAAGAUGCGAACUACCCGCGGAAGGACGGAAAGACCCCGUGAACCUUUACUGCAGCUUGGCAUUGGCAUCUGGUACGGCGCGUAGAGGAUAGGCGGGAGCCUUUGAAGCGGGGGCGCAAGCCCCCGUGGAGGCGACCUUGGAAUACCGCCCUCGUCGUGCCGGCUGCCUAACGCGCGGCCGUGAUCCGGCGCGCGGACCGUGCCAGGCGGGUAGUUUGACUGGGGCGGUCGCCUCCCAAAACGUAACGGAGGCGCGCGAAAGGUCCGCUCAGGACGGUCGGCAACCGUCCCGAGAGCGCAAGAGUGCAAGCGGGCUUGACUGCGAGAGAGACACCUCGAGCAGGGACGAAAGUCGGUUCUAGUGAUCCGGCGGCACAGAGUGGAAUGGCCGUCGCUCAACGGAUAAAAGGUACUCCGGGGAUAACAGGCUGAUCUUGCCCAAGAGUCCACAUCGACGGCAAGGUUUGGCACCUCGAUGUCGGCUCAUCGCAUCCUGGGGCUGGAGCAGGUCCCAAGGGUACGGCUGUUCGCCGUUUAAAGCGGUACGCGAGCUGGGUUCAGAACGUCGUGAGACAGUUCGGUCCCUAUCCUCCGCGGGCGCAAGGGAGUUGAGGAGAUCUGCCCCUAGUACGAGAGGACCGGGGUGGACGGACCUCUGGUGACGCGGUUGUCGACCAACGGCACCGCCGCCUAGCUACGUCCGGCACGGAUAACCGCUGAAGGCAUCUAAGUGGGAAGCCGCCUCCGAGAUGAGCUCCCUUUCCGGUAAGGGCCCAGAUAGACUAUCUGGUCGAUAGGGCGCAGCUGCAAGCAGGGCGACCUGCUCAGGCGAGCGCUACUAAUAGCCCGAGCUCUUCUUCAU